ensembl:lncRNA
GCAUCCGAUGACCCCUUUAAGCCAAGACACAUCAAGUCGGUGGCAGAUAUUUUCUAUGUAGGUGACAAGCAUGCAGUCACAACCUACUUGAAUGGAGAAAGACUGAAAGGCUAAAAAGUUGGUUUUAAAAAACCUCUAUAGUGAGCCAUACAGUCUGACAACAAUGGUCUCAUACAUUUAGGUUUCAAAUCCUAAAGAUUUAGUUAAUGGUAUUAAUACAGUUAUCAAUCUCCUCCACAUUCUGUAUAUUGUAAUAUGUAAGUGUUACAGUUGCCCUCUACUUAAGAAAACAGACAAAACAAUGAAUGAAAUUUUUUAUGGUUUGUCGGCUGUCAGGAUGCUGCAACCAUCUGGCAACACUUUUUCAAAUAUAAAUAUUUGUACAAUAAAGUACAAGAACUCCUUGCACUUGUUGUCAGCUGGCUGAGAACUUAAGUGGACCUUUGACUGGCUGGUUGUGAUGUUACUAAAAUUGCCAGUUCUUUUCAUUGGGAAAACAUAAAUAAAUAUUCAGUGCAUUUGGCUAUUUUUAGACAGAAUGUUCUCUGUAUUUUCAAAAUGCUUUAUAGUUUAGUGUGUUGUUUGACACUUAUAAAGCAAAAAUCCAGAACCAUCCUUUUGUAUUUUGAUACUAAUGGAUAACUGAAAAUUGCAGUAAAAAUAAGGGUUCCUCUAAACAUGAAUGUCUGCAGCAGUGUGGCUCUUCUUAAUAUAGCCGUAUUUAAAUUUCCCCAUAGAAAGAAUAGUAAAUAUGGUUGGAAGUGUUUGUUUGCCUUAAUGCUCAAUUAUGUUCUUGCCUAGAGUACGAUGCACUGUUGAUGGUAUCUAUGACUUAAAUGUAAAGCUUGUUUAUUCAUGUCACCACUGCUAUGUCUUUCUAUCUAUGUGUGUUUACAGGCUGGUCAUUCAUGAAUGAAAUGAAUGAGGCACAUCGAGCUAACGCAGAUCACAAGGACUCAGAGAAUGGAGGAGACAGUGGAUGCCCCAGUGAGAAACGCAGUGAAGGAGACUUAGUCGAAUAUCACAGUCAGGUACAGAUCAUCAGCUGGCUAGACAAUGCAAAUUAAAAAUCUUUGUAUUCUUAAUAUUCAAUCUGUUGUAUAUUAUAUUAUAUCACAACCUUAUUUGUACCUGGCAUAAAAACAGUGAAGGUUUUUAAUGAUGGACCCAUUUCUUUGAAGGGUGUCAGAUUUAAAACCAAACAAAUACAGAACAUUUUAAACUAAAUUAAGAAUUUACUACUCUUGUAUUUAAAUAAGAAAUUGAAAUUAGAAGCUGUUCUUGCUUGUUUUCUUUGUUGCUCCCCCGGCAAUGUUUCCUUUCUGUUAGAGUGCAUUGUAAACUUGUUGUUGUGUGCUAUGCUUAAAUGCAACAUGAAAUGCAGCAGUCAUAAUAUUUGGCGUCCUAAGAUAUGUGAUGGUAGGUUUUUACAUCAUUGUUUAGGGACGUCCCUUCUACAACAGACAUUACUCAGAAUCGGAUGAGGACAGUGUUCGUCGGGUAACUACGAAACUAUUGAUGAACUCCCUGUAUCUAAUCAUGAUAGUCACCCAUCACCCAUUGAUUCCUAAUCUGUUUUCUUCUCAUAGAUCAUUGAUUUAGAGUGGUGCCCUCCUGUGAUCCACCUGUUAUCUAAACCUCUAAACCUUCUUCUAAUGUCUAACCUUUAUCUCAUCUCACUUUCAUACCAAGAUAACCGGUGGCAAGCUCUCCUUUCCCAUAAACCCAUAUGUAGGGUUCUCAUGUUAAUGUCAGGGAUUUUCAAUGGCAUGUAAAACUCAUGGAAAUUUCUGUAGUUGAGCUCAGAAAAAAAAAUUGUAAUUGACUAGCAAUUGCUUUCAAAAUUUUAUAAAUUACUUUCAAAAUUCCUAGUAAUCAUGAGUGACUAGAGAAGCCAUGGAAGUCCAUAAGUCACAAUGUGUGGGAACCCUUCAUGUGAUUUCCUGCAUGCAUUGCUUUUUCUGUGUAGCUAUAUUUAAAGUGUUUACUUUUGUGGUUUUCCUCACAGAUGUUAGUUCUACUGCUUCUCAUAGAAAUGUUUUAUAUUUAAGAGGAAAAAAACAAGAGAUCGGCUACAUAUAAAAACAGUUUUUCAAAUGACAAACUGUUUUCAUUGACAAUACAAAGACAAUUCUCAGAUCAGCUAUCCACUGUAUUUAAAAUCACAACAGACCAAUAUUGUAAACUAUAUACUCACUAUAUGCAAAGCUUGGUCUUGGCCAAAAAAAAAAAAAAAAAAAAAGGAUGGACAUAUAAAAACUAUGGACACAAGCGUAGUUGACUUUUAAAUGUGGGACAAGUCAAUAGCUGGGUUUCCAUCCAAAGUUGUGAAUUUAACUUGUGCGCAAAAUUGGAAUAUCGCAUAAAAUAUUUGCAAAUUAGCACCGUUUCCAUCCAGCAAGUAAAAGAGAACAAAAUCGUCACUGCCUGAUAAACUGUCACUAUACAUCAAGAGUAGGAGAAGCCACUGAAUUUAAUAAUUUCAUAUAUAAUAAAUUACUUGUG